rnacentral:piRNA from 1 species
UUAAAUCCUUCACACAAACCC